AUGAACGCUGGCGGCGUGCUUAACACAUGCCAGUCGAACGAAGCACCUUGAUUCGAUUCUUCGGAUGAAGAUCUUGGUGACUGAGUGGCGGACGGGUGAGUAACGCGUGGGUAACCUGCCUCAUACAGGGGGAUAACAGUUAGAAAUGACUGCUAAUACCGCAUAAGACCACAGCACCGCAUGGUGCAGGGGUAAAAACUCCGGUGGUAUGAGAUGGACCCGCGUCUGAUUAGGUAGUUGGUGGGGUAACGGCCUACCAAGCCGACGAUCAGUAGCCGACCUGAGAGGGUGACCGGCCACAUUGGGACUGAGACACGGCCCAAACUCCUACGGGAGGCAGCAGUGGGGAAUAUUGCACAAUGGGGGAAACCCUGAUGCAGCGACGCCGCGUGAGCGAUGAAGUAUUUCGGUAUGUAAAGCUCUAUCAGCAGGGAAGAAAAUGACGGUACCUGACUAAGAAGCACCGGCUAAAUACGUG
rnacentral:rRNA from 1 species